AUUUCUCUCUCCGUCCCUCUUUUCUCUGCUCUCGCUUCUGUCCCCUUUCGGUAGGAACGCUUAUCUUGCUUUAUCAGUAAAUACUUCUCAGAUACAAUAUUCUCCGCGUUUGUGGUUUGUUUCAUCAGAUUGGAGUGUUUGAAAGAUUCUCUUUGCGAUUCCCUUGCGGUGGAACGCGACAAUGCAGAUACUCAGUACGGGAAUUCAGAAGAAAAUACUUUUUUAACGGCAGCACAAAAUUAUAUUUGCCUGUAUAGGGUAAUUAGUAUUUGAGGUGACAGCAGAGAGCUUUCCCUGAGCUGGGUGAGAAGGGGGGAGAGGGGAAGAUGGCUAAGUUGAGCUGUGUUUUCAGAUGCAUCCAAAGUCCCCUUUAACUGUACUUUGUGCUGCAAGAAAUGAAGGGUUUUCUUGUCGUAAGAUUUCAUCAUUGCUAGACGAUGUAAAAAAAGCCCAGCCGUUCCAGGAAGCAAGACCAGUAGGGUUGAGGUAAGGUUCAUGUGGGUGGUUCUAGAAGUUUGGACUUGAACUGCCUGAUUGGGAAAAGAUGAUGCAUUACACUGUAUUUAUAUUUAUUUAACAUGAGGGCUCGAGGGCUCUACAUUAAUUUCAGAGUCGCUUGUGGAAAGCACCAUAGUUAGUGACUGACACAAUGCUGCCCUCGGGCCUGCUGGAAAGGGGAAGCUGGAGGUCUCGGCUGCCAAGUGCCAUUUUCCUUUCUUGAAUUGCAACCAGAUCAUGACAGUGAUUCAGGAGUGAUGAUUAAAUCAAUGAAUACCUCUGUUUAUUUUAUUAUAAGACUAAGCUGUUGUAUCAAUUCACAGUGUUUGAGUUGCUGGAGCUGUUUAUAUAUUCAGUUUUCAUGAUUUUAUAGGAUGAAAGUAUAACAACAAAUCAGCUUCCACUCAUGCGAGGCUACAGGUAUCUUUCUGCCAAGAAGAAUCUUGCUUUAUGGAGUGUGAAAUGGAGUUUGUGUCCUCUCUAAGCACUAAUCUAUGCAAAGGCAUUUGCUGUUUCUUUAAGAAAUUUUUCUGCAAAGUUGACCUGAAAAUCAAGUAAAUUUUGAGUGACCUGACUUACCCAAGUACAAAGCAUGGAUUUUUGGUUCUAAUCCUUAGGAAGUGGGGAGAGUUAUGUCACGGAAUACAAAGAAAAACCUUUAACUACCAAAGAGACUUAGUCUGCCUUGUUUCACUUGAGAAACAUUAGGAAUAUUUUCAGAUUUCAGAGGAAGAAAACUGGAGAGACAAGACUAAAAUAGUUACUGCAGGAGGCAAGAAAGAAAAGCUUUCACAGCUGUAACUUCAUAAAACAUACAAGCAAAGAAGACAUCUUUUGAGGGAGAAGGAUUAGAGAAUAUUGGCAGAUUGAUGGAAGACUGAAGGUCUUCCAAUGGAAGAUUUCCACAGCAAUCUGUGUUUUGACAGAAAAUAAAAUUAAAAACUCCAAGUAAUUCUAUUUACUGUCUGUUCUCAGUCUGACAUAAGCUGUCUUUCUGAAAAUUGAUGGUCUCUUUUCCCACUCUGUCCCAGUUACAGAAAAUAAGCAUUUUAAUUUGAUCUCUUCUAUUUCUAGGCCAGAUAGGAAACUGGACUUUGGAGAGAAAAGGGGCGAAAUCUAUGUACCCGUUUCUGUUUAAUACAUGAAUUGUCUAAAGUAUAUAUUCGUGCCAUUUGAUGUA